rnacentral:rRNA from 1 species
CCUCGAAUCAGGUGGGACUACCCGCUGAACUUAAGCAUAUCAAUAAGCGGAGGAAAAGAAACUAACAAGGAUUCCCCUAGUAACGGCGAGUGAAGCGGGAUGAGCUCAAAUUUAAAAUCUGAUAGUCUUUGGCUGUCCGAGUUGUAAUCUAGAGAAGUGUUUUCCGCGUUGGACCAUGUACAAGUUUCCUGGAACGGAACGUCGUAGAGGGUGAGAAUCCCGUCCUUGACAUGGACUACCAGUGCUUUGUGAUACACUCUCAACGAGUCGAGUUGUUUGGGAUUGCAGCUCAAAAUGGGAGGUAAAUUCCUUCUAAAGCUAAAUAUUGGCGAGAGACCGAUAGCGAACAAGUACCGUGAGGGAAAGAUGAAAAGCACUUUGGAAGGAGAGUUAAACAGUACGUGAAAUUGUUAAAAGGGAAACGAUUGAAGUCAGUCGCGUUUACAUGGACUCAGCCUUACCUCGGUUUGGUGCAUUUCCUUGUGAACGGGCCAGCGUCAAUGUUGUCCGUUGGAAAAGGGUUGGAGAAAUGUGGCUCUUUCGGGAGUGUUAUAGUCUCUGAUCGUAUACAACGGCUGAUAUUGAGUGGUACAGCAUGCUUCGGCGGUGCUUGUGCUGGC